rnacentral:rRNA from 1 species
UACAGAGGUCCCAAGCGUUGUUCGGAAUUACUGGGCGUAAAGCGUGCGCAGGCGGUUAUGUAAGACAGAUGUGAAAUCCCCGGGCUCAACCUGGGAACUGCAUUUGUGACUGCAUAGCUAGAGUACGGUAGAGGGGGAUGGAAUUCCGCGUGUAGCAGUGAAAUGCGUAGAUAUGCGGAGGAACACCGAUGGCGAAGGCAAUCCCCUGGACCUGUACUGACGCUCAUGCACGAAAGCGUGGGGAGCAAACAGG